rnacentral:rRNA from 1 species
CAGUAGCCGCGGUAAUACGUAGGUGGCAAGCGUUGUCCGGAAUUAUUGGGCGUAAAGGGCUCGCAGGCGGUUUCUUAAGUCUGAUGUGAAAGCCCCCGGCUCAACCGGGGAUGGUCAUUGGAAACUGGGAAACUUGAGUGCAGAAGAGGAGAGUGGAAUUCCACGUGUAGCGGUGAAAUGCGUAGAGAUGUGGAGGAACACCAGUGGCGAAGGCGACUCUCUGGUCUGUAACUGACGCUGAGGAGCGAAAGCGUGGGGAGCGAACAGGAUUAGAUACCCGCGUAGUCCCUGUCUCUUAUAC